CCUACGGGAGGCAGCAGUGGGGGAUAUUGCACAAUGGGGGAAACCCUGAUGCAGCGACACCGCGUGGGUGAAGAAGCGCCUCGGCGCGUAAAGCCCUGUCAGCAGGGAAGAAAAUGACGGUACCUGAAGAAGAAGCCCCGGCUAACUACGUGCCAGCAGCCGCGGUAAUACGUAGGGGGCAAGCGUUAUCCGGAUUUACUGGGUGUAAAGGGGGCGCAGACGGCGAUGCAAGCCAGGAGUGAAAGCCCGGGGCCCAACCCCGGGACUGCUCUGGGAACUGCGUGGCUAGAGUGCAGGAGGGGCAGGCGGAAUUCCUGGUGUAGCGGUGAAAUGCGUAGAGAUCAGGAGGAACACCGGUGGCGAAGGCGGCCUGCUGGACUGCAACUGACGUUGAGGCCCGAAAGCGUGGGGAGCAAACAGGAUUAGAUACCCUAGUAGUC
rnacentral:rRNA from 1 species